GGAGUUGUGACUCAGCGGUAGAGUGCUCAGCUAGCUCGUGUGAGGCCCUGGGUUCGAUUCUCAGCACCA
rnacentral:tRNA from 1 species